rnacentral:lncRNA from 1 species
GGCAAAGAGUUAUCUACGCAUUGGUGUGCAUGUUACCAAUAACUGUUAGGUGAGGUGCAUGACAUUGGUGGGCCACAGCACCCACUAAGAAUCCUUCAUCGUAUUAGGGCUUCUAUUUUCCAUUGAAAGAGUGGAGGAAUCUAAUAAACUAGUGAGAGUCAUUGUUUGUAUCUUAAAGUCCCUAGAAGUAAAUAUAAUAUUAAAGUAUAAAAGUCUAACUUGAAUCUCUACUCUUGCAGUUAAAUAAUAUCAGCCUCGAACCCUC